rnacentral:piRNA from 1 species
UGGGCAGAACUGGACAAGAAGUCUUGCUUC